rnacentral:lncRNA from 1 species
GCAGAUUUCAGGUGGAUGAAUUGCAAACAAAGCCAACACUCGCGUCUCUGUGCCCAUCACUUUGAACAUAAGUAUUUUCAGCAUGAUGACAAGGGAAAGGUCUGCCUCAUCCCGACUGCUGUGCCAACCAUUUUCUCCUUCCCUGAUCGUCUUCAAAAGGGGUCAAAAUGCCCAAUUGAAAGACAACGGAAUAUGGUUGGUACAGAGGCUACUGACGUCACCAGGCAACGUUCCCACACCUCAGCUGAGCAAUGAGGAUCAAAAUCCAAUACCGACAAACCCACGCUCUAUCCCAGUUUGCCUGCAUUUUUUUGUCUUCAUUGGCGUGAGUGUUAUUUACUGUUUGUUUUCACAUGCCACAUACCUGAGGUCCUCUUGUGUGUUCCACCUCCAGCUAACGUUGAUCGCAUGCCAUUUAUCCAAAUUCAAUUGUGUUCCAAGCUGGCCGCUGCUGAUUCCUUGCCUCUACCAGAGAGCUACCUGCCUAACUAUAGUGGAGCUGCAGGCUGUAUCACUAGGCGACGUUCCCACACUUCAGCUGAGCAGAGGAUCCAAUACGACAAACCAUGCAGCAGAUCCUCAAUGAUAUAGUGUCUUGGUUAAAUACAAAGACUCCUUUACAUUUGAAUUGACAAUGGUGCUUGUGUGCAUCUAAGAUGUUUUAUAAGCGGCAUGAUUAGAGGCAUAACCAUAUGGCUUUGGAAGUAUAGGAGAAACUAUUGUUAAUGCUAUCUAUCAAUCUUGCAUACUGUUUUCUGAAAGUUAUUUCAAAACAUUUUACUGCAGUGGCCUAAGUCAGGGUCACACAGUGUUUCUUGAUAGUCUUAAACAAAUAUACUUUGAAACAAAAGUACACACCUCACACACAUGGUUAUGGGCUUAAAACAAGACACCUCUAACAUGUCAGUUAUAGAGUUGAAAUGCAUUACAUUUUGAGUGCAUCCCAAUAUUACACUUUAUACAUCAGAGAAGACUGAAAUAUAACAAUCGCUUGACAUAGAAACAACUGAUUUUUGGCAUUACAUUUUAUUUUAUUCAUUAUGAUAUUGUGAAAAAUAUUAAGAACAUUCCAUCCAUGAGGCCACUAGAGGGCGAUUUGGUAAUUUGCCUGCAGGAAACUUUUGUUGGUCCUUUUCCUACAGAAAAUAAUCCAACUCUUAACACUGAUUUGGACUACCUGUUUAUUUCAAAGCACCCACACUGAUGAAAGUGACCUUAUGGAAUUCCUAGAUAUUGUCACACCCUGAUCUGUUUCACCUGUCUUUGUGCUUGUUUCCACCCUGUGUUGUCUGUUGCCAGUUCGUCUUGUCAGGUUUUACCAGCGAGUUUUUCCAUCUCCCUGCUUUAUCAAGUUCUGGUUCUGACUGUUCUGCCUGCCCUGACCCCGAGCCUGCCUGCUGUUCUGUACCUGCCUGACUGUGACCCAUUUACGAACCUCUGCCUACCCUGACCCUCCCUACUGUUCAGUACCUUAUACACCCUGCCCUGGAUUACGGACCUCUGCCUGCCUUUGACCUGUCUUUUGCAUUAAACAAUAAACAUCUCUAGCUGUCUGCAUCUGGGUCUUAUCCUGAGGUAAUGGCAGACUUGGACCAGCUCCACAAUGCUGUCUCCCUUCAAGGAGCCACCAUUGGAAGACACGAGGAGUUACUGCAAUGCCUUUAUGGAAGGACUCCAUACCCUGGCAGAACGCCAUGAUCAGGCAUUCGAUACAAUUCCGCGGAUUCUCUACUGGCCAGUGGGUCACACCAGUAAUUUCCCAGCCUACCCCAGUGUCCCGAGAACCCGAAAGGAGGCAAGUCGGCAGCACUCGGUGACGUCGGGUUCAGGCGGACAUGUAGACUUUGGGGGUUUCCAGGAUUCUUCAGAGGCGAGGUGGGAAUCGAGGAUGAAUGAAAAUGACAGGGCACAGAUUCCUUUUCCCUCCUACGUUCUCGAAGCCACCCAUCGAUCCAGACAGUCAAACUCCAUGGGCAGCUCCCAGGCUCAUCUUUGAUCACCUCCGAUAAUCCAUGAAGGAACAUGUCGAACAAUGCUUCCGGGUUCCAGGCACUCUCAGCCGCCAUCAUGGUCAAAUCCACCGCGUAGUCUGCCACACUACGGGAGUCUUGACGUAGCUGGAGCAGCCUCUCUCCUGGACAACGGAGAAUCAAACACCUUCCGAACUUCUGCCACGAACCCCUCUAGACGGAGCCAGACAGCAG